UACGUAGGGUGCAAGCGUUAAUCGGAAUUAUUGGGCGUAAAGGGUGCGUAGGCGGUUUGUUAAGACGGAUGUGAAAUCCCUGGGCUCAACCUGGGAACUGCAUACGUGACUGGCAGACUAGAGUAUGGCAGAGGGAGGUGGAAUUCCACGUGUAGCAGUGAAAUGCGUAGAUAUGUGGAGGAACACCGAUGGCGAAGGCAGCCUCCUGGGCCAAUACUGACGCUGAGGCACGAAAGCGUGGGGAGCAAACAGGAUUAGAUACCCUGGUAGUCCACGCCCUAAACGAUGUCAACUGGUUGUUGGGGAUAGCUAUCCUUAGUAACGAAGCUAACGCGUGAAGUUGACCGCCUGGGGAGUACGAUCGCAAGAUUAAAACUCAAAGGAAUUGACGGGGACCCGCACAAGCGGUGGAUGAUGUGGAUUAAUUCGAUGCAACGCGAAAAACCUUACCUACCCUUGACAUGUACAUAAUCUGGCUGAGAGGUCAGAGUGCUCGAAA
rnacentral:rRNA from 1 species